GCGGCUGGAGCACCAGGGCAUCAAGAUCGAGUUCAUCGGGCAGAUCGAACUCUACUACGAUCGCGGGAACCACCAUGAAUUUGUGUCCCUGGUGAAGGACCUGGCCCGGCCUGGAGAGAUCACCCAGUCGCAGGCCUUCGACUUUGAAUUUACCCACGUGGAGAAGCCGUAUGAGUCCUACACAGGGCAGAAUGUGAAGCUACGGUAAGUUAUGUCUGCUGGUUCCCCACUGUGCCCUAGAACCUGCCCCAUGUGGACGAGGACCUGAGGCUGUCCCCACUUUGAGGAUCUUCACAGGGAUCCUGAGAAGAGUAUCGCGAGCUGUGGCGUGCUGGUAAACCAUUAACCAUGGGCCUUCUAGGAGGAAAGUGCCCCUAGUUUGUAGCAUGUGUCAAUUUCUGUAGUGUACAUAGCCCCACCAUGGCCAAUUUCAAGCUACCUAAUGUUCCUGAAUGUAGAGGUGGGAGACAUGUGCUAUUACCAUCAUAUGGAGACACAUUCCCUCAAGAGCAGAGAGCAUUGUAAAGGGCCGGAAAAUAGGAAGUGAUGAGAUUUUCGCAUGUCUUACCUUUGUUUUUAAUAUGAUUCAUUUAAUUGUGAGUUUAUAUAAUUUAACUUUAAAUAAUUGCUGUGUUUAACAGCCAGUUCAUAAAAUUCCUGAAAGUUCAAUGUUAGCCACCCCCAGCACACUCCUGCUGGGUGUCAGGAGAUCCUGACCUGCUGUCCGGCUCUGCCACACAGCUGCAGUGUGACCUUGAGCUCUGUAACUCAGCUUUCUCACUUCAAAAGUGGGUAAUAGAUUUGGAUUCUAAUUCUAGAUGUCCUCUUCUUUUGGGGGUGAUAAGAAAAUA
rnacentral:sRNA from 1 species